GACGAACGCUGGCGGCGUGCUUAACACAUGCAAGUCGAACGGAAAGGCCCUGCUUUUGUGGGGUGCUCGAGUGGCGAACGGGUGAGUAACACGUGAGUAACCUGCCCUUGACUUUGGGAUAACUUCAGGAAACUGGGGCUAAUACCGGAUAGGAGCUCCUGCUGCAUGGUGGGGGUUGGAAAGUUUCGGCGGUUGGGGAUGGACUCGCGGCUUAUCAGCUUGUUGGUGGGGUAGUGGCUUACCAAGGCUUUGACGGGUAGCCGGCCUGAGAGGGUGACCGGGCACAUUGGGACUGAGGUACGGCCCAGAAUCCUACGGGAGGCAACAGUGGAGAAAUUUGCACAAUGGGCGGGAGCCUGAUGCAGCAACGCCGCGUGCGGGAUGACGGCCUUCGGGUUGUAAACCGCUUUCGCCUGUGACGAAGCGUGAGUGACGGUAAUGGGUAAAGAAGCACCGGCUAACUACGUG
rnacentral:rRNA from 1 species